UACGAAGGGGGCGAGCGUUGUUCGGAAUUACUGGGCGUAAAGCGCACGUAGGCGGACAUUUAAGUCAGGGGUGAAAUCCCAGAGCUCAACUCUGGAACUGCCUUUGAUACUGGGUGUCUUGAGUAUGGAAGAGGUGAGUGGAAUUCCGAGUGUAGAGGUGAAACUCGUAGAUAUUCGGAGGAACACCAGUGGCGAAGGCGGCUCACUGGUCCAUUACUGACGCUGAGGUGCGAAAGCGUGGGGAGCAAACAGG
rnacentral:rRNA from 1 species